UCUCGCCGGAUCUUCUCAGCGGGUCGCGAUUCCGAUCCGCAGCUGUAUCACGUAUUUCGCAGACAAUUAGCAGAAGACAAAUAUUGUGCAAAUAUUGCUGUCAACUGUCCAUUUCGUAUUACGGACUUACAACAAAAAAGCAGAUCGCGGACCAUCACUAGUGCUGCCUCUGCAGAGCGAUUUGUGAAACUUUAGUGCAUUCUUUUCCAUACAACUAACAACAACUGGCCUAAAGUCGGUAUUACGGAUGCUUUUGUGUGCCACACAACAGCAGAUAUUUAGCAAUUUCGUUUGUCAAAUUUGCGACACCUUUUGUAUCUGGUGCUGAAUUGUUGCUAACUAUCUGCAAGUGUAAAAUUUGUGAAAUUAAAUUAUUUUAACUUGAUUUAGGUGUUAACAGCAUUGCAAAAUUUCAUACCAGAAACCUGUGGGAAUGAGCUUUUUGCAUUUUGAGUUAAACUGUAGUAAAUCCAAUGCCACUAAGGAAGUGGCUAUGGCAUUAAACAAUCUUCCAGUUUUAUUGAAACAUUUAAAGUUUCUGCAAACAGUACAAUGGGUCACAAGUUAUUAUAAAUGGGUUUUACAAUAAACUUGGCUAUCCUGGGGUUUUGGGGUGUAUAGAUGGCACUCAUUUGCACUUAUCAGAUCUUCUGUAUAUGAAGAAAGGUUUUAGAACCGCAAGCAUUAUCAUUUCAAGAAUGUGCAAAUGUAUUUUGCUGAAGCCUAUCAUUCACAAUAACAAACAUUUGAUAGUACUUAUCUAAAGAAUUAAAUUUUUCAGAUCUGUGAUAGUGAUUUUAACAUUUUAAGUAUUGAUGCAACAUUUCAUGAUACAUUUGUCUGGCUUAUCACAACUGAAUAUGCCUAUGCAGGACCUGCACCAUAAUAGUGAAAAAGUUUUGUUUUUAGGCAAGUAAAACAUCAUGAGCUCUGUCUCAGUAACCUGACUACAAAAUAACACUCAAUCUAAAAGUAUAUUUAAAACUGGGAAGGCCGUUAAUAUAUAGUACUAUAGUAAUAUUUAUUGUCAUACAAGGAACACUGUUGACCAUUUUGAGUAUUGAAGGCCAGUUGGAGAUGCUUGUUGGUACAUAGAGUACUGCAUUAUGAUCAUCAUAUGAUGGCCAAGACCAUAAUUGUUAGCUUGUAUUGCAUAACAUGGCAAACACACAUGGGUUUCCAGUGCCCCAACUCUCUGACGAAGAUGCUGAAAUUGAUGUUUCUUAUCAAAUUCAUAACAUUGUAUUUUUUGGGAGAGAAGAGGAAACACAGCACUUAGCACCAUGUCAACAUUCAAGGGUGGUUCAAUUGGAUUGUGGAGAACAGACAUUAAAUUUAGUCCAACCUCUGUAUUCUAGUAAUUUUAUGUAGAUAUUUUUAAAACUGCUGUUCUUAAUUAUGUGAACUGAGAGGGCAAGAAUAGCCUAAUUAUUUCUGCCUAUAAUUUUUAAUUGUGUUUAGUGGAAAUAUACAUAUUUCCUUAACAUUUUUGUGUUUAUAGUAAAGGAUGGAUUCAUAACAAUUUGAAAGCAAAAUUGUGAGGUUGUUUUAUUAAGACAAUGUUUUAAUCUGUCGUGCUCAAUUUGUUCUGUAUCAUUUUAUCUUUAUGUUAACCCCGUUUGUAUGUUGUGUUGUUAUAUAUAUUAUUGUAUAUACUGCUGUUUUAAAUAACAGAAUAGAAUGAAUAACAAAUCGACUAGUAAUUCAUAAUUCUUCUAGAUUUUGUUGGAUACUUACAUGAAUAUUACUUACAAAAUGAAAAGUGAUAAGUUCGUAAAGAACUUGUGUUACAGGUACCAGAUAACGGAAAUAAAUGUAGGAUUUUUAUUAUACACAUAUAUUUAAUAUACAUCCAUAACCCUGGAAAAGACAUUUAUAUUUAUCAUACAAAUAUCUUCCCUUGGCGGGAUUCGAACUCGCGACCCCUUUGUGUAGCGACCAUGUCACUUACCACUACACCAGACGGCCGUUAGAUAAGUUUGAUAAUUAUUAUUUUUGUGUAAUUUUGUUUUAUUUGAAUAAUAAUUCUUAAAUUAGGAAA